AUUGAACGCUGGCGGCAUGCCUUACACAUGCAAGUCGAACGGCAGCACGGGAGCAAUCCUGGUGGCGAGUGGCGAACGGGUGAGUAAUAUAUCGGAACGUGCCCAGUAGUGGGGGAUAGCCCGGCGAAAGCCGGAUUAAUACCGCAUGAGACCUGAGGGUGAAAGCGGGGGAUCGCAAGACCUCGCGCUAUUGGAGCGGCCGAUAUCAGAUUAGCUAGUUGGUGGGGUAAAGGCCUACCAAGGCAACGAUCUGUAGUUGGUCUGAGAGGACGACCAGCCACACUGGGACUGAGACACGGCCCAGACUCCUACGGGAGGCAGCAGUGGGGAAUUUUGGACAAUGGGCGCAAGCCUGAUCCAGCAAUGCCGCGUGCAGGAAGAAGGCCUUCGGGUUGUAAACUGCUUUUGUCAGGGAAGAAAUCCCUUGGGAUAAUACCCCGGGGGGAUGACGGUACCUGAAGAAUAAGCACCGGCUAACUACGUGCCAGCCGCCGCGGUAA
rnacentral:rRNA from 1 species